rnacentral:rRNA from 1 species
CGACCGGCGCACGGGUGAGUAACACGUAUCCAACCUGCCGUCUACUCUUGGCCAGCCUUCUGAAAGGAAGAUUAAUCCAGGAUGGGAUCAUGAGUUCACAUGUCCGCAUGAUUAAAGGUAUUUUCCGGUAGACGAUGGGGAUGCGUUCCAUUAGAUAGUAGGCGGGGUAACGGCCCACCUAGUCAACGAUGGAUAGGGGUUCUGAGAGGAAGGUCCCCCACAUUGGAACUGAGACACGGUCCAA